rnacentral:rRNA from 1 species
AUUGAACGCUGGCGGCAGGCUUAACACAUGCAAGUCGAGCAGGGUGAUGGUGCUUGCACUAUCACUUAGCGGCGGACGGGUGAGUAAUGCUUAGGAAUCUGCCUAUUAGUGGGGGACAACAUCUCGAAAGGGAUGCUAAUACAGCAGACGUCCUACGGGAGAAAGCAGGGGAGGCCUUGUGCCCUUGCGCUAAUAGAUGAGCCUACACCGGAAUAGCGAGUUGGUGGGGUAAAGGCCUACCAAGGCGACGAUCUGUAGCGGGUCUGAGAGGAUGAUCCGCCACACUGGGACUGAGACACGGCCCAGACUCCUACGGGAGGCAGCAGUGGGGAAUAUUGGACAAUGGGGGCAACCCUGAUCCAGCAAUGCCGCGUGUGUGAAGAAGGCCUUCGGGUUGUAAAGCACUUUAGGUGGGGAGAAAGGCAUUUGUUUUAAUAGAACAAGUGAUUGAUGUUACCCACAGAAGAAGCACCGGCUAACUUUGUGCCAGCCGCCGCGGUAA